GAAGGCAGCNUGCUGGACUGUAACUGACGCUGAGGCACGAAAGCGUGGGGAUCAAACAGGAUUAGAUACCCUGGUAGUCCACGCCGUAAACGAUGAAUGCUAGCUGUUAGCGAUAUACUGUUAGCGGCACAGAGAAAUCGUUAGGCAUUCCACCUGGGGAGUACGCCGGCAACGGUGAAACUCAAAGGAAUUGACGGGGGNCCGCACAAGCGGAGGAACAUGUGGUUUAAUUCGAUGAUACGCGAGGAACCUUACCUGGGCUUAAAUUGCAGUGGAAUAACGUGGAAACAUGUUAGCCUUCGGGCCGCUGUGAAGGUGCUGCAUGGUUGUCGUCAGCUCGUGCCGUGAGGUGUCGGCUUAAGUGCCAUAACGAGCGCAACCCUCAUCGAUAGUUACUAACAGGUUAAGCUGAGGACUCUAUCGAGACUGCCGACGUAAGUCGUGAGGAAGGUGGGGAUGACGUCAAAUCAGCACGGCCCUUACGUCCAGGGCUACACACGUGUUACAAUGGGGGGUACAAAGGGCAGCUACCUGGCGACAGGAUGCUAAUCUCAAAAACCUCUCUCAGUUCGGAUUGGAGUCUGCAACCCGACUCCAUGAAGCUGGAUUCGCUAGUAAUCGCGCAUCAGCCACGGCGCGGUGAAUACGUUCCCGGGCCUUGUACACACCGCCCGUCAAGCCAUGGGAGCCGGGGGGACCUGAAGUAUGCAACCGUAAGGAGCGUCCUAGGGUAAAACUGGUGACUGGGGCU
rnacentral:rRNA from 1 species